UCAUGAUAACUUCUCGAAUCGCACGGCCUUGCGCCGGCGAUGGUUCAUUCAAAUUUCUGCCCUAUCAACUUUCGACGGCUGGGUCUUGGCCAGCCAUGGUGACAACGGGUAACGGAGGGUUAGGGCUCGACCCCGGAGAAGGAGCCUGAGAAACGGCUACUACAUCUAAGGAAGGCAGCAGGCGCGCAAAUUACCCAAUCCCGACGCGGGGAGGUAGUGACAAUAAAUACUGAUACAGGGCUCUUUAGGGUCGUGUAAUUGGAAUGAGUACAGUUUAAUUCCCUUAACGAGGAACAAUUGGAGGGCAAGUCUGGUGCCAGCAGCCGCGGUAAUUCCAGCUCCAAUAGCGUAUAUUAAAGUUGUUGCAGUUAAAAAGCUCGUAGUUGAACCUUGGGCCUGGCUGGCCGGUCCGCCUCACCGCGUGCACUGGUCCGGCCGGGCCUUUCCCUCUGGGGAGCCGCAUGCCCUUCACUGGGCGUGCCGGGGAACCAGGACGUUUACUUUGAAAAAAUUAGAGUGUUCAAAGCAGGCUUAUGCUCGGAUACAUUAGCAUGGAAUAAUGGAAUAGGACGUGCGGUUCUAUUUUGUUGGUUUCUAGGACCGCCGUAAUGAUUAAUAGGGACAGUCGGGGGCAUCAGUAUUCAAUUGUCAGAGGUGAAAUUCUUGGAUUUAUUGAAGACUAACUACUGCGAAAGCAUUUGCCAAGGAUGUUUUCAUUAAUCAGGAACGAAAGUUAGGGGAUCGAAGACGAUCAGAUACCGUCGUAGUCUUAACCAUAAA
rnacentral:rRNA from 1 species